rnacentral:rRNA from 1 species
CUACGGAGGGUCCAAGCGUUAUCCGGAAUCAUUGGGUUUAAAGGGUUCGUAGGCGGGUCAAUAAGUCAGAGGUGAAAUCUUGCAGCUUAACUGUAAAAUUGCCUUUGAAACUGUUGACCUUGAAUUACUGUGAAGUGGUUAGAAUAUGUAGUGUAGCGGUGAAAUGCUUAGAGAUUACAUAGAAUACCGAUUGCGAAGGCAGAUCACUAACAGUAUAUUGACGCUGAUGAACGAAAGCGUGGGUAGCGAACGGGAUUAGAAACCCUUGUAGUCC